GAUUAAUACCGCAUACGACCUACGGGUGAAAGCGGGGGAUCGCAAGACCUCGCGCUAUUGGAGCGGCCGAUGUCAGAUUAGCUAGUUGGUGGGGUAAAAGCCUACCAAGGCGACGAUCUGUAGCUGGUCUGAGAGGACGACCAGCCACACUGGGACUGAGACACGGCCCAGACUCCUACGGGAGGCAGCAGUGGGGAAUUUUGGACAAUGGGGGCAACCCUGAUCCAGCCAUGCCGCGUGCGGGAAGAAGGCCUUCGGGUUGUAAACCGCUUUUGUCAGGGAAGAAACGGUCUGCGCUAACACCGCGGACUAAUGACGGUACCUGAAGAAUAAGCACCGGCUAACUACGUGCCAGCAGCCGCGGUAAUACGUAGGGUGCAAGCGUUAAUCGGAAUUACUGGGCGUAAAGCGUGCGCAGGCGGCUUUGCAAGACAGUUGUGAAAUCCCCGGGCUCAACCUGGGAACUGCAUUUGUGACUGCAUGGCUGGAGUGCGGCAGAGGGGGAUGGAAUUCCGCGUGUAGCAGUGAAAUGCGUAGAUAUGCGGAGGAACACCGAUGGCGAAGGUAAUCCCCUGGGCCUGCACUGACGCUCAUGCACGAAAGCGUGGGGAGCAAGCAGGAUUAGAUACCCUGGUAGUCCACGCCCUAAACGAUGUCAACUGGUUGUUGGACGGCUUGCUGUUCAGUAACGAAGCUAACGCGUGAAGUUGACCGCCUGGGGAGUACGGCCGCAAGGUUGAAACCCAAAGGAAUUGACGGGGACCCGCACAAGCGGUGGAUGAUGUGGUUUAAUUCGAUGCAACGCGAAAAACCUUACCUACCCUUGACAUGUCUAGAAGUUUCCAGAGAUGGAUUCGUGCUCGAAAGAGAACUAGAACACAGGUGCUGCAUGGCCGUCGUCAGCUCGUGUCGUGAGAUGUUGGGUUAAGUCCCGCAACGAGCGCAACCCUUAUCAUUAGUUGCUACGCAAGGGCACUCUAAUGAGACUGCCGGUGACAAACCGGAGGAAGGUGGGGAUGACGUCAGGUCAUCAUGGCCCUUAUGGGUAGGGCUACACACGUCAUACAAUGGCCGGUACAGAGGGCUGCCAACCCGCGAGGGGGAGCUAAUCUCAGAAAACCGGUCGUAGUCCGGAUCGCAGUCUGCAACUCGACUGCGUGAAGUCGGAAUCGCUAGUAAUCGCGGAUCAGCUUGCCGCGGUGAAUACGUUCCCGGGUCUUGUACACACCGCCCGUCACACCAUGGGAGCGGGUUCUGCCAGAAGUAGUUAGCCUAACCGCAAGGAGGGCGAUUACCACGGCAGGGUUCGUGACUGGGGUGAAGC
rnacentral:rRNA from 1 species